GCAUCAUUACAGCCCUGUAUUGGAGUGUGUGAUUGUAUAUUGCUUGUGUAGAGUGUCAAGCGUGCGUGCUACACAUUGUGCCUGGAGAGAUUGAUGUUUUGUCAUCCACCUGCUUCUAAGCUGUAAAAGCAAGCGCAGCAAAGGCAAACCUACCCAGCUUCAAAAUCCAAACAAAGAAAUCUUAGUGGGCUGUUUACAUAUCUGUGCAAGGAUAUCUGUGCUUGUGUUGACGGGGUGCUAGAGUGGCUGAGAGAUCAGUCCCCGCACAAUGGACGAGUGGGAAAUCAAAGACUGGAAUGCUGGGAGAACGCUGGAGAAAUUGACGAAGGGGUGAGCUCUGGAAAGGAGGACAGAUACUUCCUGUUCCUUCUGGAGUGACCCGCAGGUCUGAGGAGGAGUGAGGGAGAGGAAGGUGGAGAAAGUUAUUUAAAAAAUUCUUUCCAAGUACCCAGUGAAACCUGCUAAAGUACCCUCUGGUGUAAACAUACCCCUGGUUGGGAAUCAACGAUGUGAUGGACAAACAAGCACAAACUUGGCGAUAUCUGCAUCAAAUCUCCCAGCUGGUUACACAAAGCAGAUGGCUGCAGUGGCCCGAGUCAUCACAGCACUGACGUAUGGACAGUCUAAUCGAAUUAUUACAGUUCCUAGUUCAUCACAGAACAGAGCCUGAUGUUUACUUCUCAUAUAUUUCUUAGACAACUAUACAUAUUGCAUGAAUGUUGCUAUUGGGUUUGGGAUAUGUGGGUGUUUAUUUUUCACUGCCUGCUUGUUUAUUUGUUGUUGUGUAAACUGUUUUUUUAUAUACUUCCAAUAUUUUGGCUUGUUUUGUUGCAUUACUGAUAGCUUGUGCAUUAUUUUUCAUCCACUGUAACAUUCAAAUUGUCAUUGAUGAUGUUAAAUGCCUUGCUGGAGAAAGUCAGUUUCUGUAAAUGCCCAAACUUUACUUUUCUGACCUAUUUUGGUUAUUUCAAUUAGCCUUUGGAACAUAUCCUGCAAUACUGCAAGGAUAACAAACAGUUAUUGAACACAAGUUGAUCUAAGUUUGGGGCAUGUUGUCACAAUAUAUAGUUCAGGUUAUCACAAUAGAACCUGCAAUUAAUGAAACAGCAGAAAUGUAAAAGGGAAACUGUCAAUAAAUAUAAAUAAACAAUUUAAAUUUCUAUUUUAAUACAUUUAAUAUAUUUUAAUAAAAUGUAGUGAAUUUCUUCAUGGUCAUGAUGCUACUUUGGUGUUUAAGAAACAUGUAUUAAUAUCAUUACAAUAAAAGCAUGAAUUUCUUCUAAAUAAAUAAAUACAAAACAGAAGAAAAAAAAAAAGACUGAUGACUGCUGACAUGAUGUGAACCUUUCAGUUAAAACAUGCAUUCAGUACAUUCAGGAAUUCUGUUUGGAGGAGAAAAUAUGUUAGUUGGAAACCAACAUACUAAAACUCUGCUACAUAUUUCAAUCACCUACUACUGUUAUUUGCGCAUUCCGUUAGUGCAUUCAGUGUCACACCUUAUGAUUACACCUCAUGUGUCUUCAUCUGUGUCCUCCUCUUCCUCGUUUCCUCAUUUCCCCCUUCCAUAUUGUGCUGCCGCUCCCAGUCUUAGCAGGAACCACAGGGGAUCUUGUUUAUUUACUCUCUUCUUGGGAAUCAAAGCUGUCGCAAUCACACGCUGCCAACUUUAUGCCCAUCCACCCACCCCCCAUUCCCUGUUUUGUGUCUUCCUUUCCCCAGACACUUCUGCCUCCCACUUCCAUCACUGGGGGGUCUUGCACGACGAAGGGCCGAUGGCCAAGCAGGGCUCACCAGUCGCCGAUAAAGCGUGUGGAAGUCUCACAUAUGGAGUUUGUUGAGUGGAGUCGGUGACAGAGAAUGAGCAGAAGUCCCGACGGUGUUGAUUUGUACUAUGGCAGGGACCCCCAUGCCUAGUAAGACCUCAGACACUGCAUAGUGUCUGACACCACCCUAAUACAGCAUAUGGAAAUGAGGCAUGCAUAUGGCUGCAGCUAGGUGAGAUCUGACCCCCGCUUUGAGGGAGGGUUGUAAAUCAGUCUCAGUAGAUAUGAGAAUAUUGCGAUGUGGAGGUAACGCACACAAAGGUGCUUCUUCGCUUGUAUAUUUUAUGUUUGUAGCCCAUAGUUUCCAUUUGUUUUCACAUUCUCAUCUGAAAUCCUAUCAUGAGGCUGUAAUAAUGUGAGGGUAUGUGUGUGGUGGAGAGUGUGAUAAAAAAAGAAAGAUUUUGAGUUUGUUUGCAUUAGCUCUGGAGUAGAUGAAUCACUAUGUGUGUUCUAGUGCGAUAUAUUUGUGAAUGUGUGUAAUAAGGGAGUUCACAGAGAGAUAAGUGUACCACAUUGUAAUAUUCAUGUUUGGUCAGGUUUUAACCACAUGAAACUAGGCAUGAGAAACAUACCAAAUGGAUCUCAAAAGUAGGAGGGAAAAACAAUUUAAUAAGUUUACCCUAUAAAGGUAUACUCUGCCCAAAAUUAAAACCAUCAUCAUUUACUCGCCCCAAAGCCGUCCUAGAUGUACGACUUUCUUCCUUUUCUCAGAUUAACACGAAAGAAAGAAAGA